rnacentral:rRNA from 1 species
UAGGGANUCUUCGGCAAUGGACGGAAGUCUGACCGAGCAACGCCGCGUGAGUGAAGAAGGUUUUCGGAUCGUAAAGCUCUGUUGUAAGAGAAGAACGAGUGUGAGAGUGGAAAGUUCACACUGUGACGGUAUCUUACCAGAAAGGGGCGGCUAACUACGUGCCAGCAGCCGCGGUAAUACGUAGGUCCCGAGCGUUGUCCGGAUUUAUUGGGCGUAAAGCGAGCGCAGGCGGUUAGAUAAGUCUGAAGUUAAAGGCUGUGGCUUAACCAUAGUACGCUUUGGAAACUGUUUAACUUGAGUGCAAGAGGGGAGAGUGGAAUUCCAUGUGUAGCGGUGAAAUGCGUAGAUAUAUGGAGGAACACCGGUGGCGAAAGCGGCUCUCUGGCUUGUAACUGACGCUGAGGCUCGAAAGCGUGGGGAGCAAACAGGAUUAGAUACCCUGGUAGUCCACGCCGUAAACGAUGAGUGCUAGGUGUUAGACCCUUUCCGGGGUUUAAUGCCGCAGCUAACGCAUUAAGCACUCCGCCUGGGGAGUACGACCGCANGGUUG